GUGUUCCCAUUGUGAGGAAAUAAUAGUAUGCUAAGUUUAUGUAAAUUUAAGUUUAUUAAUUGACGUCUUGUAGUAUGUAAAUGUGGGAAUUUAAGAGUAUAAAUAGCAGACGUGAGUCACUGGGAAGGGAGAGGGAUUUGAGGAGUCGCCGGCAGUCAAAGGAAGAAAAGAAACACGUACACUCACCAAUAGAGAAAUUAAGAAAAUCUGAAAGGCGGCGAGUGAACCAAUUUGAUAGGGAGCAUCGUAUCCCAACAGAGAGGAAAACAUUCGAACGGAGAAGCUAUUGCUAUUAUAUAGUUUGUUUGGAGCGGAAAGGAUAGCAAUUGUAUGUGGAGACCAGUCUAUCCUCAAAGUGACUGUUGGUAAAGAACCGCAUGGUGGAGCGAUUUGUUAAGCGAUUAAGUAGACGAAUUACCUUGGGCCGAAAGUUGGGGUUGUGAACAGAGGUAACUACCUUCAGGGCUAGCCGAAGACAGAAAGACGAAGCAGUGGUAUGAACUCAGUCUGACUUUAUAUUAGUAAAAAUAUCUAGCUUAGGUAAGGUUGGGUUUUUUAAGAAAGUUAAGAAUAAUAAAAAAUAUUUUGUAUUGUUUAUUCGGUCUGUGAUCAUUA